GGCGAACCGUGCGAACGUUAUUCGGAAUCACUGGGCUUAAAGGGCGCGUAGGCGGGCUGACAAGUCUGGGGUGAAAUCCCGCGGCUCAACCGCGGAACUGCCUCGGAUACUGUCGGCCUCGAGGGGGAUAGGGGCAUGCGGAACUGUAGGUGGAGCGGUGAAAUGCGUUGAUAUCUACAGGAACUCCGGUGGCGAAAGCGGCGUGCUGGAUCCCUUCUGACGCUGAGGCGCGAAAGCCAGGGGAGCAAACGGG
rnacentral:rRNA from 1 species